ACGGUGGUAGCUCAGUGGUUAAGGGGUUGGUCUACUGCUCAGAAGGUUGUGAGUUCAAACCCCAGCACGGUC